rnacentral:rRNA from 1 species
AUUGAACGCUGGCGGCAGGCCUAACACAUGCAAGUCGAGCGGAUGAGUGGAGCUUGCUCCAUGAUUCAGCGGCGGACGGGUGAGUAAUGCCUAGGAAUCUGCCUGGUAGUGGGGGACAACGUUUCGAAAGGAACGCUAAUACCGCAUACGUCCUACGGGAGAAAGUGGGGGAUCUUCGGACCUCACGCUAUCAAAUGAGCCUAGGUCGGAUUAGCUAGUUGGUGAGGUAAAGGCUCACCAAGGCGACGAUCCGUAACUGGUCUGAGAGGAUGAUCAGUCACACUGGAACUGAGACACGGUCCAGACUCCUACGGGAGUCAGCAGUGGGGAAUAUUGGACAAUGGGCGAAAGCCUGAUCCAGCCAUGCCGCGUGUGUGAAGAAGGUCUUCGGAUUGUAAAGCACUUUAAGUUGGGAGGAAGGGCAGUAAGUUAAUACCUUGCUGUUUUGACGUUGCCAACAGAAUAAGCACCGGCUAACUUCGUGCCAGCCGCCGCCGUAAGAC